UUGCUCUUUUAAAAUGAAAAAAAAAAUUCACACUUCCUUGAUAACCCACUGGUAAGUCUGCUCAUAAUUUUUAGCGCAUCAGUAACCCUAGAACUGUGUGAACUACCUCGAAAACUCAUGAAAGUGAAAUUCUGGUCUUGUUGACAACAAAUUUUAUCAUCUACAUGAACCACUAACAACAUUCUAAUAUCUGCUCUCUGCAAGCUUUAUUUUGCCUUGAAAAUUAAAGUUACCAAAUGACAUUGAACACCUGGAUUUAUUUUAGAAAUUAAGCAAUAGCAUAUAUGAAUUGGCCACAGGCAUCCCACACUUAACUUCAAAAUAUCAAACACUUUUUUUUAAGUAAGCCUAUUUAUUGAGUGACACUAUAAGAAAAAGAGAAAAAUACAGAAGCAGCACCAAUCAGCAAGCCUCUGUUCACUUAUUCUUGGUGUAAGAUAUCUUGUUCCUUUGGUGUUCUUCUGCAAAACAAUGUAUCUAUUAAGCAGUUUGAUGCUGAUGACUUCUCUGAACUAUAAUUUGGUGACUGUUGAGCCAUUUUUCUAAGGGAUGUUCGGCCUUAGCACAAAGAAGAUAUAAUUACUCAGUUGCCCUGUUCUGAGUUAACUGCUUAUUGGAAGCAGGCACAGUCAUGAGUUGUCC
rnacentral:lncRNA from 1 species